rnacentral:rRNA from 1 species
UACGACCGCAAGGAUGAAAACUCAAAGGAAUUGACGGGGGCCCGCACAAACGGGUGGAGUACGUGGUUUAAUUCGACGCAACGCGAAGAACCCUACCAGGUCUUGGCAUUGAUGGACAGAACUAGAGAUAGUUCCUCUUCUUCGGAAGCCAGAAAACAGGUGGUGCGCGGUUGUCGUCAGCUCGUGUCGUGAGAUGUUGGGUUAAGUCCCGCAACGAGCGCAACCCCUAUCUUAUGUUGCCAGCACAUUAUGGUGGGAACUCAUGAGAGACUGCCGCAGACAAUGCGGAGGAAGGCGGGGAUGACGUCAAAUCAUCAUGCCCCUUAUGACCUGGGCUACACACGUACUACAAUGGGAGUUAAUAGACGGAAGCGAAACCGCGAGGUGGGGCAAACCCGAGAAACACUCUCUCAGUUCGGAUCGUAGGCUGCAACUCGCCUACGUGAAGUCGGAAUCGCUAGUAAUCGCAGGUCAGCAUACUGCGGUGAAUACGUUCCCGGGCCUUGUACACACCGCCCGUCACACCACGAAAGUCGGAAGUGCCCAAAGCCGGUGGGGUAACCUUCGGGAGCCAGUCGUCUAAGGUAAAGUCGAUGAUUGGGGUGAAGUCGUAACAAGGUAGCCG